rnacentral:rRNA from 1 species
AAUAGAUACCCAGGUAGUCCACGCCCUAAACGAUGCGAACUGGAUGUUGGGUACAUUACGGUACUCAGUGUCGAAGCUAACGCGUUAAGUUCGCCGCCUGGGGAGUACGGUCGCAAGACUGAAACUCAAAGGAAUUGACGGGGGCCCGCACAAGCGGUGGAGUAUGUGGUUUAAUUCGAUGCAACGCGAAGAACCUUACCUGGCCUUGACAUCUGUCGAAUCCUGCAGAGAUGCGGGAGUGCCGCAAGGAACGACAAGACAGGUGCUGCAUGGCUGUCGUUAGCUCGUGUCGUGAGAUGUUGGGUUAAGUCCCGCAACGAGCGCAACCCUUGUCCCUAGUUGCCAACACUUCGGGUGGGAACUCUAGGGAGACUGCCGGUGACAAACCGGAGGAAGGUGGGGGAUGACGUCAAGUCCUCAUGGCCCUUACGGCCAGGGCUACACACGUACUACAAUGGUCGGUACAGAGGGUUGCCAAACCGCAAGGUGGAGCCAAUCCCAGAAAACCGAUCUCAGUCCGGAUUGGAGUCUGCAACUCGACU